rnacentral:lncRNA from 1 species
UCUUUUUAACAAGAAUAAAAAAUAAAUUGUGCAACCUCCACCAGGAAGUGAGUGGAUCUUUGAACUCUGCCAUCUGGCUAGUGGAAUCUAUAUUUUCAUCGCCUCGGGUUACAGGUUAAUCCUGCCAGUUUUUAUUAUUUGUAGAAGUAGUUCGCCUCUCGGAAGCUUUUAUGGUCUCUGUCACAGAGAAGAUUGCUGCUGAGCAAAAUACAUGCACAAAAUACUGGGGUCAGUGGAGUGAGGACAUUGAGCAGGGAAGAAAAGAGAGAGGGAAAAAAAAAAAGCUAGUUCUGGCUAAUCUAAAAUUAUCCUUUUUAUUACAAGAGAAGACAUUGCAACAUGUGCUGGCAAAUUUGCCUCGCAUUGCAAGUCAGCACAGACAGGAAGGCUGAGCCUCCCUGCUCAUGGUGGAAGUCAAGCCCGAGCAUGCCCAGCAGCUGGGGAGCCCCACGUGAUGACAACAGCAUCCAGCUCCAUCUGGUGAUGUUCUCCCAGCCCCCCGGGCACUUUUCCAUCUAGUCUUGCAAGCAGCUGGAUCAAUUUACUCUAGCCUACGGUGCGCUGCACAGGCACAGACUGAAAUUAUUACUCAUGGAAAUCCCCUCUGUCUCAGUGCUUUGAACAAGGAAUCAGGUAGCUUUCAAGCUCCUGACAAUUAAUAGCCUUUGGUCGAGGGAGAGCAGUGCAAACACGCUGGAAGCAAUGGGUUUCAAAACAGCUUGCUUAGUUUCUAGUAAAUUAAAGGGAGUGGGCGGUUGAGGUACACGGUAAUAUUAUCCAGCGCAGUGUGGUCUUCACUGACGUCAGCAGGACAUUUUUUUUCCCUCUCUUUCUCUCUCUCUGCCUGUCUCCCAGAAAGAGACACAUGGAGGUUAACUCUGUGACAGAAGCAUGGCUCGUACCACCCGGAGAACCUCCAGUUUUCCAUCAACAAUGCCAGAGCGCAGAUGCUGCUAUGUUGCAAAUGAGCAGCACCAAAUUACAUGCAAGUCAUUUCAGAGGAGAAAAAAGCUGUUGGAAACAGAAAUCAUGAGGACUUACAAGUUGCCUGCUGAGGUCCCUUUGACAACAGUGUCUUUCAGGAUUCAUUUGCACCUUUCAUCAGGACAUUUUGGAGAAAAAAAUGGAAGGAAUUAA